UAACGGGAUGGCUUUUCAUUAGUGUAAAAAGCUUUUGGAAUAAGAGCUGGGCAAGACCGGUGCCAGCCGCCGCGGUAACACCGGCAGCUCUAGUGGUAGCAACUUUUAUUGGGCCUAAAGCGUCCGUAGCCGGUUUAAUAAGUCUCUGGUGAAAUCCUGUAGCUUAACUGUGGGAAUUGCUGGAGAUACUAUUAGACUUGAGACCGGGAGAGGUUAGAGGUACUCCCAGGGUAGAGGUGAAAUUCUGUAAUCCUGGGGGGACCGCCUGUUGCGAAGGCGUCUAACUGGAACGGUUCUGACGGUGAGGGACGAAAGUUAGGGGCGCGAACCGGAUUAGAUACCCGGGUAGUCCUAACUGUAAACGAUGCGGACUUGGUGUUGGGGUGGCUUUGAGCUGCUUCAGUGCCGAAGGGAAGCUGUUAAGUCCGCCGCCUGGGAAGUACGGUCGCAAGACUGAAACUUAA
rnacentral:rRNA from 1 species